rnacentral:lncRNA from 1 species
GAGGAUGGUGGAACUUGAUGAGGUUAUUGAACCGUUGCUUCAACCAGAGUGUAGCACGGCGCAGGAAGUUGUUCCUGUGGUGCCUACACCAAUUGAAGUGGAAGCUGAGGAUAGUGAUCGUGAAGCUUCGGAUCAAGUUACUACAAAUCUCGUAGGUCGACAGGGUCAUGCACUGCUCCAGGGUGGUACGGUAACCCUGUCUUGGAGGUCAUGUUCUUGGACAACAAUGAACCUACGAGUUGUGGAGAUGCGAUGGUGGGACCGGAUUCCG